UAAAAUAAAUAGCAUUUAACACUUUUACACCAAUUUAACCAACCAAGAAAGGUAUGAUGUAUUUUUUGCCACAGGAGGAUUUCUGCUUUCCUGGUAACUAGAUUGGCAGUGACUUCUCUUUGUGUCUCAGAGACUUUUUCUCAACAGCCCUCACAAUUGCAUGGCAAAAGGUUAGGAGGUCACAUUAGAAUUAAAGAUAACCAUGAAAGGUUGAUCUACUACCAAACUGUAAAGAUGCAACUCACUACAUUAUAAAUUAUAUAGCAUAUAGUUGAAAACGUUUCAUCACCCUUAAAUGGAUCAUCAAACAAUUUAAUGCUAUAUGGCCA